GGCCCUGCCUCCUCCUCCAGGCAGCCCGCCGCCACCGGGAGCCGCUCCUCCAGGAAAGCUGAGUGCCUUCCCCACACCGCUGCUGCCUCGCGGUUCCUCUCACCUCCGAAAGCCCAGCUCCCUUUUGGAGAACAGGGACGUGGGGAGGAGGCCAGGGCGGGGUUGUCCAUUCUAUUUGUGCAUCAAGUCUUUCCCAUCAGACUACAGGCUCCCUGAGGGCAGGGGUUGUGAGGGGAGGUACGAACUCGGGCAGUGCUGGGGAGCUCCCUGAGGGCAGGGUUCGGGUCUCCCUAAAAGAGAACGAGUGAAAUGACGUCUGUAAGCGUGGCAGCCUGGUGCUCAGACCUAGAGCAAGCUUUAAAAAAAAAAAUUCAAGGAAUACUGCUAUUGAUUACAUAAUAGUUUCUCUAAGGUAAGGCUGGAGAGGAAGAAGUCACUGUUCUUCCCUCACUCUACCAGUGCCUGCCUGGCUCACAGCUCUCUUCCCCAGAACAGUCGAGAAAGGAGGGGACACUUUCCCCCUUGCUGGGUCUCCUCACCUCAGGAGCCCUUCCUGGAAUAUGAGUCUGGGGGAACGCGAGGGUUCCAUUGGCAGGUUAGAAAGAAGGGGCCCCAGCUUCUUGGCUCCCAGGGAAGGCCCUAGGCUGGAUUGUCUCAAGGAGCGGGUGGGUGAGGGCAGGACGCCGGUGGACAAGGGCAAAGCUGUCUGCAGAUCCCUCAGCUCUGCAGGGACACAGCAGAGUCAGCGGCUGGACACCAGGAACUGUCUGAGCUGCCAGCAAGGGGGCUCCAGGGUGGGCGUUGCGUUGUGCCAGUAGACAUGUCUGCCACAGCCCCUUUCCCAACUGAAGUGUUUGUUCCGUUCACUGUUCCCCGCUCCCCUCUGCCUAGAAGCUGCGCCUAGCCAUCCUCCCUCCCAGGAACUGCAGCGGGUGAGAGGUUGCAUUUUGAAUACCCUUGGGUGAGUUGUUUAAAGGACCUGGUGCCCUGAUCACUGCCACUGUGGGCCUGUGUAGAUGGACUCCUUUGCAAUUUUCCAGCUCAGGGUGCGUGUGUGUGUGUGUGCGAGUGUGUCUGUGUGUGUGCCUGUGUGUGCCUGUACCUGUGUGUGUGUGUGUGCACCCACACGGGUGUGCCUGUGUGUGUGCACCUAUGUGUGUGUGGCUGUGUGCAUGUGUGCACCUGUGUAUGUGCAAGCCUGAGUGUGUGGCUGUGGUGCGCCUGUGUGCAUAUGUGUGUGUGCCUGUGUGCGCCUGCACGCACUUGUGUGUGUGUGUGUGUGUGUGUGUGUGUGUUCUGAGCUGUGGGGAGGGAGCUCUGCUGGGGUCCGUGGCUUGUCGUGAGUGCUCUGCUCCACCUUGUCCCCUCCCCCACGUUCCAAACACCCCUCUCUUUCCAGCCUGGCUGUUGUGGUGAAGCUAAUCAGAGGUAAUUACGGGGGAAGGAGGGAUCCUGAGAGGGACCCCACAGAGACCACCUCAUCCGCCCCAGCCCAGCCCUGGUGGCCCUGGCCUCCAGGGCCUAGGCCAGCUCAGUCUUGCCUGGUGAGGGUGAACCCACCAACACCCCACCCCAUGGUCCUCUCUCUCCCGCCCACUCCCCAUUCCCACAGCUGCAGGUAAGGUUCACACAUCUGGGUUUUCCUCAAUCUCCCCAAAGCUGCUCCAUAUGCACUCAUUCAUUUCAGAUUUUCUGGGCACCUCCUCUAAGCCAAAGCCCACACUGGGCACCUGACAAAAACUGGUCCCUACCCUCAUGGAGCAGCUGCUAGGAUUUUGGUCAGGGUAGACUUUGCAGGGGCUGGGGGCAUAGCCUUGGAAAGGCAGAGGGUCCCUGCAGAAUCACAAGCCCCUUCAGGGGAGGGCCUCCCUUCUACCACCUUGCUGAUGCCAGAGGAGUGGAGCUUACCAGCCCAGAGCUUCUCGACUUCCACCACUCCUAGCCUGUCAUGGCGCCCAUCCUCCCUCCCACCCAGUGUUGAUGGGUGUCAGGCCACACCCUGCUCUGUCUCCCUGUCCUGACCACCUGUCCUCCUCCUGCAGCUUCCUCCAUCCACUUGGGUUCCCCCUGCUUUUCUGCUGGGGUGGGAAGGGGGUCUCUCUGCAGUGCAGAGAGGCUGGAUUGAGAGCAGCAUCUCUCAGUCACCUCCUUGGGGUUCACGGCCCCAAGCUGGGAGAGCCCUUAGAGACCAAGAAGAUCAGCUGUCUCUCACACCCUAGGAAAUUGAGGCCCAACGGGAUGGGGAGUCCAAGGAGUCAGGGUCAGCGGAAUUAAACCCCAGUCUCUGACUCCCAGUCCAGUGCUCUUUCUGGGGAGUCCUCCCCGAGCCUGCAUCUGGAGGACAGAGUCCAGGCCUGUUCCUUCUCCCAUCCCCUCACUGUGCCCAGAAGGAGAGAGGAGCAAACAGGGGUCCCCACCAUCCUGCCUUUCUGUCCUGCCCCACUAGCCUGGGCCCAGAGACAAGGCCGUGGGGUGGGAGGGACCACAGGGGGCUUCGUUGAGGGUCUCUAAUUUCCUCCUGCUCCUUGAUGUCCAGAGCAAAACAGGCCUCCUCUGCCCAAGAGAUUUCCAAGCAUAAACAGAGGUCAGCGCCCCCCUUGCCCCGGAGGUGCCAAGGUGGAGCUGCAGAUCCACAAGUCCCCCUGCUCUGACCCCCACAAUGCCCCAUCCACUGCUGCUCCGGGUCAGGCUGCACCAGGUACACAGUAUCAGGGACUUCUUCACCCUGAGCCUUGGUUUGCCUACCUGUAAAAUGGGGGUAAUACAAUAUUUAACUGUGAGGACUAAAUAGACCAGGGUCAGUGUGUGUGAAAUGGCAGUUAUGGCAAUGACUAAUGCCCCAGAAGAUGUCCCUCACGUCUGGAGGCCGGGUCUCCUCCCAGGAAUGGUUACCCGGAACCCAUGACUGGCUGUGACCCCUGGCAUAGGGACAAGGACCAUGGCUGGCAGAAGGUGGGGUGAGUAGGUCAUGGGUAGGGGUGGGGCUGCUGGGACUGUCCACUGGCAUCCUGCCCAGGCCCCGGGCACAUUCCUCCUCCCCCGUGCUCCCUACCUGCCGGAUACCACCUGUGCUGCGAGUACCACCACUCACAUGGCCUCUGCAGCAAGAGAGACUGCAGUGAGACUACCAGACACAGCUGCCCUGAGGAAAACAUUGAACUAGGGGAGUGGCCCCUAUCUGGAAAGCCUGCUGGGGCAUCUUAGCCACUGACCAGCACAGAGGAGACGAGCGUCUGUGUCCUGGUUUCAUCUUGUGUCCUUCGGGAGUCUGGAAGCAUCUUCAGAACAGGGGCUGGGUCUCCACCCUCAGAUUGAGUAGUGGUUCCCAGAGGCCAGCUCCUGUGUCCCUCUGUGGCAGGAAUUGAGCCCUCACCAUCACAUCAGAUUCUUUUUUUUUUUUUUUUUUUUGAGACGGAGUCUCGCUCUGUCGCCCAGGCUGGAGUGUAGUGGCGGGAUCUCGGCUCACUGCAAGCUC
rnacentral:lncRNA from 10 species